AAAAUAACGAUGAAAGAGAAGAGUAGCUUGUCCCUCGCCAUCCAGGGAGAAAACGCCGGAGACUGGGAGCGUUUUUAUGGUAGAAGCAAGUGAAUUCACCUCUGGAGUUGACGCUUGGACCAUUUUGCUAUUGCAAAAUGUAAAGGCGUUCCGGCCAUGGCCGUUAUCGCAAUGAAGUGAACAGCGCUUUUUCGCUGUUAACAAGGGUGGUACCGCGAUUUCACUCGUCCCUUAU
rnacentral:ncRNA from 1 species